rnacentral:lncRNA from 10 species
GAGGAAUGCGAGCUGAGGAACGGAAUCAGAACUGGUGUUCAAAGAGACUGUUUCUGUUAAACCCAUUUUGUUGCACAAGAGAAGAGCCCCUUCCUUUCAACUUUCCAGCUGGAACCAAGACCAGACCUUUCAAACAAGCCACUUUCAGUAAACGCAAAACAGGAACUAUGUGUCCCAGGCUGGUCUCAAAAUCUUGAGCUCAAGUGAUCUUCCUGACCCAGCCUCCCAAAUCGCUGGGAUUACAGGUGUGAGCCACCAUGCCUGGCCUGAAAAUAGAAUAUUUGGAAAUAAAAUGAUAAAUUCAAUAAAUGAAAUCCCCAAGAUUGGAGGAGACCCUAAACUGAAUGAAAACAGAAAUUAACUCAUGUUACAAAUGAACAACAAAACUGUACUGAAGGAGAAGUGGUAUGGGAAUAGCAAUUAUGACAUUAUAUUGUGCAUAUUAUAGAAUUAAGCAAAUGACAUAUAAAAGAAUGUGGAAGCUAGAGUUCUCACUGUAGGAAAAAAGUAGAUUUAAAUAUGAAUUAGGGAAUACAAAGGAACCUUAGAUGGGUGGAACUGGUGUUAGAGGCAUCAGUAUAAACCCAUAACUUCAUAUACAUUUGUAGAGAUAGAGCUAGAGGUUUGGCCUCUGUGUGUUGAAGGCUUAGAAGCAAUAACACAAUGUAACAAUGAGCAGGCUUGGUACCAAGAUCUUGGUUUCUAAAUAUUAUUCCUCACAACAAAGAAACAGCUUCUUAGAGAAAUGGAUGACUUCAGGGCUGGAACAAGGAAAGUAUAAGCUAAGCUUAAAAUAUCCUAUUGUGAUAGAAAUUAAGGAAGUCCCCUGCCACCCCCAACACCCCAGCAAAAUGAUGGGAAUAUGUCAAAAAACACAGGAGGAAGUUCCAAUUAUGGCUGAGUAAUUCCCAUCACACCAAGUCUUCUGUAAAUAAGAAUGAUAUACUCAGAGCAAAAUAUUAAAGAACAAACAAAAACUACCUGAAGGCAUUAGCAAACAACAGGAGGAAUAUACUGCACAGAGGUGGAUACCUGGAAGAGAAGAGGACUGAAUGGGUUUCCUGUGUUUUUACAGCUUUUAGUCUAAGGGAAGUCCAAAGUCUGCAAAGUGAGUGGUUAAAACAAAGCUGGGGGUAGUGGUGUGCGCCUGUAGUCUCACCUACUCAGAAGGCUGACGUGUGAGGAAACCGUGAGCACAGGAGUUCAAGGCUGUAGAGCACUAAGAUUGUGCCUGUGAAUACCCACUGUAUUCCAACCUAGGCAACACAGUAAGACCUCAUCUCU